CACCGCCGAUUGGUUAUCCUACUAGAGAUGCGAUGGUGGGUGAUCCUUCGGCAGCAGCAGUGGAGACCAAAUCCAAGGGCAUCGAACCAGCGAAAAUAACAGAAAUUUGUUGCGGAUGUUUCCAGGCACUUGGGGAAUGUCUAUCGUGAAAAUAUUGCUUAUCAGAAUCACCGUCAGCAUGAUGAGACUGAAGUCGUUCACCAAAUCAGAAAACAACACGUAAUAAAAAGAUCCAUCAAUAUGUUAUAUAUAGAUUAUAUUAUUCGUCUGUAAGGACUCCCACGUUGCAUAUUUAAGUUUAUUUGCUUCAUUGUAUGAAACGGAUCCAUGAUUCUCCUUUGUUUCGUGUAUUUUGUUUCUAUAUAUGUCAAAGAAAAAGAAGAAAAAUAGCUACGAGCUCGUAACUAUCCAAAGAAAACUA